rnacentral:misc_RNA from 1 species
UUUGUCGUCAACAAUGAAGCCGUCUUCAAUACGUGUGUGACAGCGAGACACAUGAUCAUGCCUUCAAGAUUCAUUCCUCUUGCUGUCCUGGUCCGUGACUCUUCAUGAGGAGAAAACAUUAGUUAUCCACGUCGUUGACUACUCUUGACUACAUCGUUGACUACUAAAAGAAGACAAGGCUUGAAUCUUCUGACCACACCACGUCAUGACAAGAAGUGACAUGAUGGGCAUGACACCUGUAGGAACCCGGAGGGAUCAGGAGAGGAGCGUCAGAGGGCACGGAGUGCACCGAACAGUAAACGCGCUUAGACAAGAGAUACAAAGCAGCGACAGGGCCACCCAGUGCUCAGCCCUGUCUAUACACAGCACCGUGGUCAUGGAUGCCCCUUGGAAAAUGUCUUUGGCGAAGUACAGUGGGAAGAAGGAAGCUUUUAUUGAAGGAGCGAAAGAUUCCAAAUUACCGAGGAAAGUAAGACAGAAAGUACUAUCAGAAACAGCUAGCUCUGAUCGAAGCAUAUGAGGACCUCGAAAGACUCCAGCACGAAGAUGCACGCGACCAGACCAAGCUUGACGACGAAGCCAUGACGACGCUGCGGUUGUCGCAACUCUCUUUUUUCGCAAAUUUUGUCAGAAUAUUUCUAACACCUGAUCUUUUUCCAACAGUUUUUAAACUUUCAAUUUUUAUUUUGCAUGAUUAUUGGACGCUUCUCGUAUCUUCCCGUUACAGAUGAUGACCUUAUUGUUUCUUAGUAUUGCUUUCUUUAGUAAUAUGUUUAGUUGUAUUAAUUAAUUAAGUUGUAUUAACAGGCAACAGUUAACAGGUACAAUUUUACGUCGAUUACCUUUUUGGAAAAUAAGUUUUCCACUGAAAUUUAUUAGCCAACCUUUUGCUUUAGAAUAAUUGGGAUUUACGUGCUUCGUUGCCAUUUUUUUUUUUUUUUUUUUUUUUUUUUUUUUGAGUGGUUCGAUUUGAUAUUUCCGGUUAAUGCGUGUAAUGGUUUUAAUGAAAUGUCGUAAACAAGUGUGCACGUAUCAUCCAACAGACAAAAGAAAUAACAGAUCGAUGUCAGUCUGGUUUUCUGUUGACAUGGCAGGUUUUGCUGGUGAUCAAGUCGAUAGCAUCUGUAAAGUCAGGCUCUAUCUCGGUGAUAUCCAGCGUGGUAGACUCUAGCUUCGACCUCUUGUCCGGCAUUAUCAUCUGGUACACGUCUCAAGCUGUACAAAAGACAGACUAUCAUCUCUACCCUUUUGGUCGGCGCCGCCUGGAGCCGCUGGCCAUCUUCCUGCUGUCAGUGUUGAUGUCGAUGGCCUCUCUGCAGCUCAUCUGGCAGUCGGUGGAAAGGGCGGUGCUUUUCGCCAAGGACCUCGGCAAUGUGCCGGAGUUUGACUCUGUCACUGUGGCCAUCACCUGCACAGUCGUAGCAAUCAAAUUCUUCGCUGUUCCUCGUGUGUUACAUGGUUAAGCAUCACUACGGCAGCACUUCUUCCUCGCUGAAGGUCCUCAUGCAGGAUCACCGGAACGACACCAUCUCCAACACCGGGGCCCUGCUGUGCGGCUACAUAGGCUCUCAGCAGUUUGUGAAGAUUUCCGGAGAGAAGAAUGUGGUUUAUGUCGAUCCUAUCGGUGCAGCGCUCACAGCAGUCUAUAUCUUUGCCAGCUGGUGGAACACGGGUGCAGAACAGAUCCACUUUUUGACCGGGAGGAAGGCGGAGCCCGAGAUUCUGAGCCAGUUGACGUGGCUGUGUCUGAACCACAGCCCCCUGAUACUGCAGCUGGACACCAUCAAAGCCUACCACUGCGGCACCCGACUGCUGGUGGAGGUGGAGAUCGUGGUCAGCGAGGACAUGCCGCUGAAAGCCACUCACGACCUGCGCGAGAGCCUGCAGUCCAAGCUCGAGCGACUGGACGAAGUAGAGCGCGCCAUCGUGCAUGUGUGCGUCAACCACAACAACAACCGUCAACAGAGAGACAAGUCUGACGAAACACCUUGAUACGUCAGCGUCUGCCCCGAUGGCGCAGAGGUUGAUAUCUUGCGUCUGGCGCAGUCGACGUCGCUUUAUUCACAGCUACAUGCAGAUGCUAGUUUUUGAGUAGUGUGAGUGUUACAGUGUAAUUUAUUUCAAAGACACUAAUUUAUGACACGUUUCUCUAGGCUAUUCGUAUGCGUUAACGACACUCGAUUUUUGAAUAACUUGAAGACGUUAACUAUAUGAUAAAAGAGAGGACUGACAUCGUAAGGAUACAAACUGUGGAACAAAAUAAGCGUAUCGAUAAAUACGCUAACUAUCGAGUAGAGAUAGUUUCCUUCUUAAUAUCUAUGCCCCUUUUAAAUGUUUUAAAUACAAAAUGUAAAUCACGAGAAAGAAAAAACGAUGACAAGGACGGAAAAAAGAAAUGAUAAAUGAACGAAUGAAAAGGAUGGACAAAAAGAGAAAAAGAAUAAAUAGAAGAAAGAAAGAAGAGAGGAAUUUUCAUGCAAUAUUUCAGUUACACAGGAGGAAUGCUAAAGGUUGAAGAGCUUUGUGCAAACAGCUAAAUAUUAAGGAAUGAAAAAAAAUACGUGAUGAGAUCUUCCCGCUCGGCUUCUAAAUAUGACAAACGAUGUUUUCGUCGAAGCUGUGAGAGAAAAUAACUGUUUGGAGAGCCACUUGAAAGGCACCCACUUCAUUCGUUAUUCCGCAGCAAUGAAUGGCUCCGAUAGAUAAAGUUAAUACACAACCAACGCGGCAUCUAUCAUCAAUUUGUAAUCUUGUUCUCACCAGCUUUCCUCGGGUAUGCUACACCUCUUGAUCUAGCAUCUACCCGCCCCCUGCCUCCACCCAGUCACUUCAGUGUACUUAAAAGCUAUUUACAUGUCUCUGCUGUGUGGUAACACAUCUUUCCAGCAUUUCCCAUGCUAAUGCUGUCUGUAUAUUGGCAGGGAAAGAUUGUCGACGAUUGUUUUUAGGAGGGAACUGUCUAAACUGUUUUCGUGCCCCUUUAGACUUCAAGCUUUGCUCUUGGCUUCUCCGAAAAGAACACAGGAAUGCAUGAGUCUUACCCACCCGUCUGUCGUUCCUUCAACGUCUUCUAGUGUUUGUGUGGCCCAAUUUCUGAAGGGCUUACCUUCUACAUAUGAUCAUAUUCGGUACUCGUGGACGUCCUAGCAAAAGUCACACCCUAUUCCGAAAGGGGAAGAGCAAUAUCCAUGUCUUGGUGCUUUUUGUUUCUUCUCGGCAAGUUGCUUGUACUUAAGUGGAAGAAGAUUACUUCCACGAGUAAAAAUUGUCUCCAACAUGUAAACUUGAACAAAAAUUACUCCAGAAAAAAAAACCUUAAACAGAAAAUUGAAAAUAAUGGUUAAAAGGGGAAAAGAAAGUAAAGUAAAUAAGGUGGACGAGAAGAAGAAGCUCAAAUCGGCCCAGCAGUUGGCAGCAGUUUCCUGGCCUAAUGUGCACUAAUAGAACGGGUCGCAAAGAUGCUGAUUAACCCAGACAUACGCCAACACAAACAAGGGACAGCAACAGAAAAGGGAGAUAAUCACAAAGGUGUAAACAUUUGAGACCGUUAAGCUGUCAAGGCGAGGUUUCCUAAGCUCUUGAUCAAUACGUUUGCGUGUCUGCCUCUCCUGCAGGGGUCGUUGACAGCUAAAGCCCUGCGACAGAGAGAGAAACUCAGUAGAUCAGAUAUAAAUCCUCAGGAUUUUAACGGCAGUAUCAUUUUUUUUCCUCCUCAGUCCUCAAUUUUUUUUUUUUUACUUUCGUGAGACGUAUUCAUUGGUCUUGACAUAAGCUGCACGUGCACAGGAUGCUCAAGCAGUUUGUGGACAAAUCAGCAGAGUGGGAUGACGAGAUUGGAUGUGCGGGAUGGUGUGAUUGGCUGUAGGUUGGUAAUUAGUUUGCGCAAUUGCAGCUUCUUCGGGAUGGUGAGCCCUUUGUCACGCACUCUGCAAGCGUACAACACUUGCUUGUCACCACUGUAGUUAAUGAGAAGCAAAAUAGCCUGGGUUCACAUCACAUCUGAGGAUACUCGCUCAUGACAUCUUUUACCAGGAAUCACCGUUUCUUUACCCCCUUUCACUCUCCGUGACCCCCUUAUAAUAAAAAGUAAUAUCUAGGUAAAAGCACUUACAAAUGAGCACUUGUUGUUACACCUCAAACUGUGAAAUACUACGGUCCUUUCCACGGGAACCAAUCACCUGCUUGUACAUCAACCUUUACCAUGCCUCCGCAAUCUUGGGAGAGAUCUCUUUUUCUCCUCACCAGAAAUCCCCCUCAAACCCACCAAAGCCCACUCAGUCAAAGCUACCCGGCGGUCAUCCUCAUUCCCAUUUUGGACAGGUAUUUGGCCGCUUUGAGAACCUCACAAGGACUUACGAGUGUUUUAUCGUGUUUACCCGCGAGCGGUCAUGUCAACUUUGUGACCGCCCUAUCUGUGCACAUUCGUCUUGCAUCAGCAGGCCUAUCACCGCUAACGGAAUUCUCCCCACAUCUGGCUUAAUGACUGCGAUUCUUGCAGCUUCGUAAAUUGGUAUUGAUUGUAUUUGCUUUCCCUUCGGUUAUCAUUAAACUUUGCUACACGCUGAAAUGAAAAAUCUAGUCACGGUGCACUGGGCCUCAAGAGGGUGAUCACAUACUCGCAGGAAGACGUUGGGUCAGAGCAGGUGGCGAUAACCUCUUGCACUGGUUCUCACUGGACUGGAUUCCUUCCCUUUCCUACCAGAUCUCAAAAUAUUACAUUUUCUUCAGUAUUACAUCAGAUCUGACAAAAAUGACUUGUAGAUUCUCUCCCUUUUGGGGCAUCCCCACACGUCUGGAGUCAUCUCCCCUUUCAGCGGACUGUUGUUCACUGGGCUUGCUCAGCGCAAAAUACGUUAAACGUAGAGAGGCGUACAUGCUAAGAUGGCGACUGAUCUGCAAUGUCGCGAAAUCUCACUUCUUGUGAUAUCCAACUGUAUUCUUUGAAACAAAUGCAUGAAAAAAGCACUGCAAAAAAUAUAAUUUAAAGAUUGGCAUGAUGAUUGAAUCUUUCACACUUGACGUUUGAAAGAAACAUUAUUUUUAAAUGUAGUCGCCAUCUGCCUUUUGUUACCAGAGCCUGUUCUUAUUCCGUUCUUUUGGGAUGGGCUAAUUGAUUGACUAAAGGAAGGAAUAAGAGAAUGAAGUAGAGACGAACAAAUUGAAUAUGCAGGAAAAAAAUGAAUGAACAAAUGACUGGCUGCGUGACUGGCUUAACAAAUUCACAAAAUUGCUGAGCUGGUAGAAAACAAAUAUUUCAAUGCUCAUGCAAACUUUGCGCCUUUCUUGCUGGCCCAUGACGUUGGUGUCAACUCCACUUUGCACAAUACAAGGCGAAAUAGAUUCUGACACUUUUCUAGCUUUAAUAAAAUCAAUUAUUUUUUAAUUGUGUUUUGACAAAUCAAGCUUCCCGCAGAGUCAAC